rnacentral:rRNA from 1 species
GUUGAACGCUGGCGGCGGGCCUAACACAUGCAAGUCGAACGAGUGGCGGACGGGUGAGUAAUGUGUGGGAAACUGCCUGAUGGAGGGGGAUAACCACUGGAAAAGAUAGCUAAUACCGCAUACCAUCGGAUGUGCCCAGGUGGGAUUAGCGAGUAGGUGGGGUAAAGGCGCACCUAGGCGACGAUCCCUCGCUGGUCUGAGAGGAUGACCAGGCACACUGGAACUGAGACACGGUCCCGACUCCUACGGGAGGCAGCAGUGGGGAAUAUUGGACAAUGGGCGCAAGCCUGAUGCAGAAAUGCCGCGUGUAUGAAGAAGGCCUUCGGGGUGUAAAGUACUUUCAGCGGGGAGGCGUUACCCGCAGAAUAAGCAACGGCUAACUCCGUGCCAGCAGCCGCGGUAAUAC